GGGCAUUAAUAUGCCUUAAGGGAGCAGAAAUGUUUGUAUCUUAUUUUACUACUUCAGUAUUGAAUACUUGUUAUCUAGGCUGUCCUGCAUCUAGCCUGCCUUGGCUGAUUGCAAACAAGAUUGGAACCACUCCGGGAUGGUCCUGGCAAUGAAGCCGUUUCGAGUGAAGAGGGGUUCUCUUCCAAUUUCUUGCCUGUUGUGACCUGCAUUCCUAUUCCGUCUCCUGUGGUGCGGCUUUUGGUAAGUUGGACUGUUUUUUUUUCCCUUUUGCACGAAGACAGAUGCAGAGAAUGAAUUAGAAACAGUUCCGCUUCCCUGAUGCUGGUUACUUCCUUGCCAUCUUCUCCCAUUAGUGGACUGAUUGUUUCCUUGACUUCUUUCUUUACACUUUUUUUUAAAACGGCUUUAAUGCAAAACGUUUGGACGUCUGAUUCAGCUCAGCAAUCCAAUCAGCAAACCAUGUUUUAUUUCUGUUGUGCUUGGCGCACACAGCUCCUCGCCCCACUGCUUAUUCAGGCUGCUCCAAAACUCAAAAUUAUUUGCUUUUAACUUGCUGGCUUCGCCACUGACAUUUCCAGGAAUGGAGCCAGGUUUUGCUCAACUGCAGGUCCUGUUAGAAGUCUCUUUACCCUAAUCAAAGGCAUUGAACCUCGAUAUCUGUGUAUUACCUUUGCUUUUCAUUCCAGUCUAUUUUAUUCUAUUUCCAUAGCUGUUGGACUCCUAUCACCGUUCUUCUGUAAACAUCGUCUUCCUGUGCCUCUAGCCAUAAAUCCUUAAAGUUAAAGAUUAAUAAUAGGGAUACAAAAAAGAAAAGGAGCCAGCAGGAAGGAAAAGUUUUGAUAGUUUGCAAAAGUUCCAAGAUAGAUGUAGCUGUUCUCUGGGCUGCUAGUUACACCCCUAGCCAACUACUGAUAACAAACUCAAGAUAUUUAUUGCAGUUGUAAAUCUUUCACCAAAGUAACACAAAGCACAUUGCAAACACAAAGCUUUCUGUGUGGAAAACAAGCGGAAUUGCUUAUCAAAAGAGUUCCAGUGACAAACUGCAAUUUCAGGACGAUCCAAAGAUGGUCCGUUUCUUGUCCAAGAAUCCAGGCAAUCCGACAGAGUCUCAGGUAGGAAAUCUGAUCAUUUUUUGUCCAUCUCUGAUGCCCUGGAUAUGAGCUUCACCAAUCAGUCGAACGUGUUUCUUUCUUUCAAGGAGAUGACGUAACUUCCUUUGCUCACUUCUUCCUAGUUUGUGACAUGUUGCCGGGCCUGGGAUCUUGCGUCCUUAGAUCACCUGACCCAAAGCUGGUACCUGUGUGGCCUGAGGGGCAGGUGCUUCCCUCAGCACCUGGGGCCUUCCUGGGGCCUUCUUGGGAGAGCAGGGAAUGGCAGGGGAGGCUGAAGGCGAGACUUUAUGAAAAUGAGCCUCCUGGCUGUGGAGAACCUGCAGGAACAGAGCCAGCGAUUGUGGCGGUUGGCCAGACCAGGAGACAGAAUAGAAUAGCAGAGUUGGAAGGGACCUUGUAGGUCAUCUAGCCCACCCCCCACCCGUGCUCAAAUGUUAGGAGUUUACCUGUUUCAUGCCACAUUUGUGAUGAAAACAAAAAUAAUACAGGUCUGGCUGCUUGUUUUUAAUCCAAAAAGAAAAACAAAUAUUCCUUUACUACUGAGGGCACAUCUUAUAAACAGUUGUUUUCCAGGGUGUAUCUGCUGUCUCUAUCCCACUAUUUACAAGAUAACAUUGGACAAGUCCAGAAGGAAAAAAUAAAAAUAAACUUUCAGCCGGGAGGAUAAGUUAAUGGAAAGUCCUUCACUACAUUUUCAUCAUUUGCUAUUAUAACCUUUUGCAUUUUAUGUAGCUUAUGAAGUAGCUGAUAAAUACAUGGAGCUUUUAAAAAGCAUGUUGUGCAGUAUAUCGUGCACUGAAUUAUUACUAAUGGUAGAAACAGUAACAGUAGUGCAGAUGCUGCCAAGACUUAAGUCUUCCUUGGCUGAUUUCUUGGAGAGGUCAGGUCAUUCCCACGUUCAACCAAAUCCGUUCCUGAAAUCCAGUUAUGGCCAGGUUCUUCCUGGAGGCAGAGUUAAAAGAAACCAGAUGGCUGCGAUUUUUCAAAUGAAAAAACAUGUGUUUUGUAAUCACAGUCACUAUCUUGACUUUUUUGACGCCUGCCUGGACCUUUGCCUCUUCCCUGCUGCAUCCUCCUGUUAGCCUGUAUGGCAGCCUCGGACUUUGGAGACUGGGCAAGCCUCCCCGAGAGAGGGCUUUCUCUUUUUCAAGGGCUAAGGCUGGUGACUCCCAGCCUUUCCCCCUCCUUUUAUGUAUCUGUCCAUUUAACCUCAGAGGGGAUGGAGAUACAUCAGCACUUUGUCCUAUAGGGAAAUCCAAAGCGCAUUGCUUGACUUGGAGACAGAUGCCAAGGGCCUGAACACGUUUCUACUCCACUCCAUAAAAUCCAGUGAAAAUGGCGCAAGGCCUCUCUUAUAAAACCAGGAAUGAAACUCUAAAGAAUCCAAGAAGCGGAUUCAAACCCUCCCCUUAAGAGCUUUCCUUCCACUCCUUCCAACUGACAGGGUAUUCUCACUGCGGGAAGGGACAACUCGCCAUGGCCAAAGGGACAAAUCACUGCAGAACAAUUCAACAAUUCAAUUUAAUUAUUUAAAAUAAUUUUAAAAAUAUUUUAAUUUUUGUCAUUCACAUUUUAUUUUGUCCCUCCUUUGGCACUCUUUUUUUAAUGAUUCUAUUCCACUAUUUCUUCGAUUAUUAGUGUAACUUUUGUCCUGUGGCGAGUUGUCCCAGACCCCCCCACUCACUGUGUUGUUUAGCCGUCUAUAAAUCAGUUCCAAAAUUUUUGCUCCAUGGAAAAAGAGCCCCCUGAAUAAGGACUGAUCAGGUGUAUGUUGGAAGUACAUUAACCAUUUAAGAUGUAGGUGCCUGCAAAUUAAUACACGACAGCAGCUUCUUAAAGAAGCACGAAGUUGGCUUUGUGACGGACGGGACAAAGGCCAGCAGGUCGUCCCUGAUGUACAUCUACAGUUGGGACCGGAAUUUCCAUCGUAACUUGGUGCAAUUAUAAGAAGACCUGCAUAUUGCACAGACCAGAAGCAGGGCUGAGAAAAUAACUACAAACCCCUCACAUCCUGGACGUAAAAUGUUUCAACUCCUCCCCUUGCGGAGCAGCUAUUGGAUGCCAAAACAACUAGACACAGAGACAGUUAUUUCCCUCAUGCCCUCACUCUCCUGAACAUCUAAUCCUCACAGCACUGUUUUAUUUCUAGAAACUGCUUCACUGCUCAUCGCUUAGGGUUAAGAAUUCCACUCCCGGGCAGGCAGAGAGAGACAGAGAGAAAGAAUGCUACAGCCACCAUGAAAAAGGACCAAGGACAAUGUAACCCCUUCACAUGGGUGACCUAAGAAGGAAAGUGCCGAUUGAGGAGACACUGUUCAGGGCUGGAACUGGGCAGGAGGGAGAAUGUGGCUGGGAUCGCCCCUUUCCUUCCAGCUGCUUGGAAACAUCUGCUGGGCUUUUGUGGAAAGAGAUGCUGGGCUGCAGGGCGCAAUUCUUCCAUCUGGAUUCGUGGUGAUGUCCAUUCACGCGUGCGUUUCAUCGUGUGCACUCGGUCCAUUGCAUUAGGGCUCCUCUAGAGAAUGAGCGUAGCUGCAACUAGGCGGAGAAACUAUUGUCUGAAGCAGGAGAUGAAAUGGCUCAUAUCUAUCUUCCUUCAUGCGAUGCUGACUAAAUCAUUGCUCCAGGUAUCCAAUUAAGUAUAUGCCAACUUGGCUUUUAUCUAAUAGGGAGCAUCUAUAUGUGAACCAUUUCUUGAUGAGGUAAUAUGGAAAACCUGCGUUACUUUGCAUUUUAUUCAGCAGAAAGGACAAAUAUUUAAAUCUCACCUUGCGUGACGUCUCUGAUCCAGUUGUAGCAAGCUUUAAAUAUUCCCAGGGGAUUGCUUACCUGCGAAUAACCACAUCUUCCUAUUCUUCUGCCCUACAGCUAAAGUCUCAGCAUUCAGGGCUGGUCCUAGCCUAAAUCAAAGUGGAGCAGUCAGUUUACAUUUGCAUUUGAAGUUAUUUUUAGAGCUAUGCAAAAUAUUCAAAAGAGCAUAUUGUGAACUGUUGAGACUUUAUAAAUAAGGCUCAGCAGGGCUGGUGCUUGGCUGUUCCAGGGUCAGUCCGCGUGCAGCCCCUGGCAACCGCAGCAGCACUGUGGGCUCUCCAGAGACAACCUGGAAGAAGCCCUUGCACUGCUGGUAGAAAGGGAAGGAACACAAUGAAAGAUGGGUAAUGUCAACAACUACAUCAGCCCUGUAAACUGAAUGAGUAGAUGCCAAAUGAUGAAACUGACAAAUGGAGGAAAGUAAUCACAUCGCAUUGCACUUGUGUUGAAAGGGCUGGCCAGUGACCGUUGCCUGGGGGGGGGACACCAGUUAGGGGCUUCUUUCAUGUCCCCUACAGGACCUGGAGCAUUGGAGGAGAGCUUACCCUGCCCACGGCAGGGUUCAGGUCUCAGACGCGAGCUUGCUGCUUGUCAACCCAGUGUCCUAACCAUGGAGCAGGCUCACAUGCUCUUGUGAGAAAGCAAUAGACUCUUAGGCUCCCAGGGUGCCACCACCCAACACUGGGUGAGCCUCUUCCUUAUCGGUGUGUAUUGCAACCAGAUUAUAGGGCAUGUUACCUCACUAAAUCAGUGGCAUUUUCAAAGGGAUGGAGAGAGGAUCGGUCUUCCUGUACUUAAAGAAACCUCAGUCCAACCCAAUGUAUUUGUAGUCCUCAGCUCUCUCAGAUUCUGAAGCAUACUCUACAUAUUUUGAUCUUGAAUAAUCCCACAGAGGAGGGAAGCAGAUCCCGACGUGAUUGGGUAACUAAGCAAUUUCUGUAAAUUUAGUUGACUGAAAUAAUAUGUCCUGAGUAAAAAAAAAUAGAUUUUUAUACAUAAAAACA